AUGGUGAUGGAUAUCCACUUGACAAACCCACCUGGACACAUGAAAUGCAGGAGCGCAGGUAUGCUGGAGAGUAACUGUCCCAUCAAGGAUGCAGGAUGGACUACAUUAAUACACCACAGGUUUCCUGAAAUGCCGAGGCAUCAUCCCUAAUGCAAGUAUGGAGUGAAAUGUAUCGAGCAGGAGUGCUGGAAUACUUUCAUGGUUCUUUCGUAAAACUGGCUUUGGGAGUUAUGAAGGAAAAAAACAACAACAACAGCAACACAAAAACAAAAACCUUUUCAUUUACUUAAAUGAAUACUAUUAUCUCAUAAUGGAAUUUUUAAAGUCUAAUUUGAAAUUCAAAGAUGAGAUUGAAAUGCAAACCUCAUCAUCAACCCUUUCUUCCCUGGCGUCAUAAACCUCAACCCUGAGUCCUAGCCUUCAUAGAACAGAAGACUUGCAAGCAGGAAACAGAACAAGUAACUAAGGAGGAGAAAACACACUGAGUGAAAUUUCAAAACUUUAUCCUAUGCAUUUCUACUCAAUUAGAGAGAUUAGAACAUUUCUUUGGGCUCCAUAAGCACCCCUGUAUCCUGGUAAGAAGAUGCAUUCUAGGGGUUUAGGAAAACCUGGUACCUACACAGUAGUGCUGGCUCUAUUAUGCAGGUCAGAAAUACUCAUUUACCAUUUAUUAAGAUGAAAAACAGGUACACAGGCCAGCAAAGCAUCUUUCCUCUGUUAACCAAAGGCCCUAUUUUCAGUUGUCCCGUGUGUCCUUUUAUCUGAGAUCUGACUGGAAAUGCAGAAUUCAGUCUCAGUUCUAAAGUGAGAUGUGUGUCCGUGGGCUGAACUGUCUGCAGCUUUGACCCAGUGCAGGAGAUACCGGGGCCCACACUCCAGAGCAUCCGCCUGCCCCUCCUGGGGUUAGCGUCCUACCUACCAGAGAGACCGUGCCUCCCUACAUUUAGCUUAUUAAUUUAGCAGGCGGGUCAGGAGACUAAUUGCUGGCCGCUGGAGGGCCUGAGGCUGCAGGAGCCACUUUUAACUUUUGCUUUGCC
rnacentral:lncRNA from 12 species